AGAUGGGGACACAGAAGCCGUGAGAGAAUAAACCACCUUCCAAAUGUCACAUAACAGGUUUGGGCCCUCAUGGGUGACAGAAAAGUCUCACAGUACUGGUUCCUGUUUGAACACACAUGUUCACUGGGUCUCGCCUUGCAGCAGGAGGACAGAGAAGGCUGGAAUCACCGCAUUCCCACAGCAAGGGCAAUCUUUAAAGGCAGUAAGGUGUGACGCUCCAGACUGGCAGCUUGGCAAGACGGAGCCCAUGGAUACCAGCACACGGGAAUCUGGACCGUUCACUCUGACAGCAGUCAGCACUGGGAACAAAAGGAAUGGAGGAAAAAAAGCGCAAAUGUAUUUUUACAUAUUGUAGGCAUAUGGCCACAAGACCAGCAGAAAUAUAUUUAAUUACCAAUUGCACGCAUUGAGGAGAAAAACACUAGGAAGGAAAAAAAAAAAAACUGUGUACACAGCAAUAUUAUUCUACUUUAACUUUUCACCUCCUUUUUUUUUUUUUUUAAUUGAAGAUAAAAGGGAUGUGGAUCAGAAUGGAAAAGGGUUAUCUGUUGGGAUCCUAAGAAAGGUGAUGAGGGUUUUUCAUGCGUCUUCCUCAGUAGUGUAACAUUGUGGUGGGAAAUCUAAGUUUUCUUGUAAUGACUUUAGUUAUAAAAUAAUUUUACUAAGGCAUUUUUUGAGGGAAGGCCCGGGGGGAGACCUAAUUUUAACUGUAACAAUUAGACAAUUUUUACCAUUCUGUUGAAACUAUACUUCCAAUGUUACGCAUUAGUUUAGGCCUUAACCAUGAACAAACAACCCUUGCAAAAUUAUAGUCCCGUUCCUUCCUAUGAAAUCAGAGCAGUUCAACCCACACGUAUUGCCUGCUUCCUAUCUGUCAGGCACUGUGCUAGCCAAUGGAGGGAAAGGGAUGAAUCAGAUAUAGUCCCUGUACUCCAGAAGCUCACAAUCUAAGAUAGGAGACAAAUACAUAGGUGCAUAAUUAUAAUAGUAAAUUAUUGAAAUUAUAACUAUAAUUAUAAUACACGUAAUAAAACAGCUGCAAUAUGAUGAGGUAGGUAUACCGAUCCAGGGGCCACAGAGACCUAUUCUCAGGUCAGCCUGGGAGUCAGUCACCUAGAAAGUCCAGGGAGGUGACUUCCUCUUGGAGGAGUUAAUGAAAAAGAGCUUUUGGCCUGGGUAAAGUGUAGGUAGGUGGUCCCAUGGUAUCCCCUAUACUGUCGAUCCUGUUCCAUCAGUCACAAACCUGGUGAAAAACUGUAUCUGAGUCAGUGUGUUAGAACAUCCCGCUCCUCUGAUUCCCACCAUCUGGGGCUGGAGCUCAGAGCUAUGUCCCCUGAGAGUCUGUGCCCAGUGGGUCACAAGUAUGCUCUGAGAAAUGCUGGAGAGUGACAACCAUAGUAGGUAGUAGCGGUAGCAGCCCCAGGAUUGGGGUCGUGCUGGGGGACUUGGCUGAAUGACCUAUUGGUGGCCAUGGACUCUAGUCAGGAAGAGAGAGCUCAAGGAUCAGAGCAGGUAAAUAUGUCCCAACAAACUAGUGGCCAGGCAUCGAGUCUCCCAGCCAUGACUGAUGAUACCUGGCAGGUGUGCCCCUCAGGCUGACAUUUUCUCCCUGGUCUCUGAGGCGUUCGUUGGAAGGACAGGUCUAGAAAGGGCUCCAACCCUGAGGAGCGUAUAGUUGCAAUAAUUGUCAGAAGCUAGAAUUGUCAGAAGCUCCACUUUCACUGGAGCAAGUUUGGUUUAUUUUGGGAAUUGGCCUUGGAGAGGUUAACACUUAAGGAAAAGGCCAAGGUCACUACAUGGCUCAAAGGGAUCCAUUUUCUUGUACAGGAGUUGUACUGACUUAGUUAUUUGUGAGCUCAAGUGGCACUAAGUGGCAGAGUCUAGAGUUUUUCAAAAGCCAAAAUCAAUGUUUUUAAUCACUCUGCCCCACCGUCUAUAUUGAAAUUAUUAUUUAAGAGGCCAAAUACUGGACACAAACCCAUAGGGUACCAGACUGUGGAUUUGGCUGCUUUAUUCACCAUGUGGGGUUUGGGGCUUCAAUUUCUUAUCCAGUAGGAAAACAACAACAAAAACUAGUCCAAACAAUUAGGGAGUAGAGGGAGCUAGUUAGAACUACCUGCACAAUACAGAUUUUUGACUGUACCCAGAAUAACAUAUUCCAAAUAACCUUCCCAUUGCCUAAGUAAGUCCACACUACUGUUUCUUAAUUUGGUUGAAAUAGGCAGGUUUCAUUGAUUCCAUGAACCUUAAAGUGAAGUUACCAGGUUGUGUAGACAAUACAUGGUAACUUUUAAAAUUUGCAGAGUAAAGUAAGAAUGACACUACCACAAGUCUAGAGCAAUGCCUUGGUAAAUUAGACACCUACUUUAAAGUUCAUAAAAUUCAUGGCACCAGAUAUGUUUAUAUUCCAUCUCCCAGAAACAUAUGGAAUGUUCUUUAAGGAAACAUAAUUCUUUAAAAUUAAGAUAUAAAGGGAUUUUUUUAAACAAAAGAAGUUAAAUUUGAAUAGAAAUACAUAUAAAAUUGGUUUCUGGGCUUGCUAGAAACCAGUGCAAAAAGAGAAAUAUGGAAAAUGGCAUGCAUAAUUUUUCAUUGUCAAAAAGGAGGAAACAUAUUAGUUCCUCAGGAAGAAAAAGCAUCCACUAAGACACAAGCAUUAAAAGUAAUCUAACAUAGACUAACCUUUGAAAGAAAGAAGGAACAGUUUAAAGUCUUUGUAGGUGGAUUGUCGUACAAUUCAAGAACUGUAAUGAAAUACACUCUUUAAAACUAGCAUAAAGAAAGUAUUCUUAAAGGCAUUAAGUCAGAGGGUCACUAGGCCCUGAUGCACAGAUCUCAGUCCCCAAGGCAGCACUAUUUUGGUUAUGUAUUCCUAAGGCAAACAUUUGUUGAUUACCUGAUCUGUGCCAUUCACAUUUCUAGGACUAGAAACGAGUAAUAAAAAAGAAAAAAAAAAUCCCUGUUCACAGUCCAAAUUAAAAUGAUUCCAACACAUUAAUAUAAAAUUUUAUAGUUUCAAUUGUUACAAUGAUGUAUGAUGAAUGAAUUAUGGGUUAAUCAACUUACAUGAUGCUUUAUGGUUUACAAAAUGUUUUCAUACAUCAUUACAACACAAGUAUCCUUAUGCAAGCAUUGGGACAUGCCAGGUAUUGGACUGAUGUUCCUGGCCAUAGAGCCUUGAUAUGUCAUGAAAGUGAUGUUCAUGAUUAUGUUUUAUUUCCAUUAGAAAGAAUAUGCUUGAGAGCCCGUUGCAGAACUUAGCAAGAAAAUCAGCUAGUUAAUGUCACAAGAGACCUUAACAUACCUUGAUGUGUUUAAGAGUUGAACACUACACUUAGUGACACUUAGUUUAAUGAACAUCUUUGCUUUUUCACAUCCCAUGAAGUAUUGUAGGACUUUUGGCAAAAUGUGAGAUCCCUGUGCUAGGCACAGCAAGAAGCUAUGAAUAACUUUUAGAUGAUAACCACUCAUCCAUAUCUCAAGGCAACGAUUGCAAGUCUUUUGGUCCACUCAGGCUCUCGAGCCCUUUAUUCUCCUUCCUCAGCAUCCCUAUUGUGCACAAUGGGUGAAGAAUUCUGCUUCUUUUCCAGCUAAUUAACCCACAUGCUAAUGAUACUGUUCCGUCCUUGGUUGAUUCAGAGCAACCUCCAGCUGUCUGCCUCCUGUCUGUUCAGAAGCUUUUGGUGAUGAAGGUAGAGCCCAUAAGAAGGAAACUGCUGCAUGAACUCACCAGCACAGGCAGGCAAUCUGCAGAUUAACACAUUCCAUAGCAUUGAUCCCCUGUGAGGACCCAGGCUCAGAGAUGGAUGCUUGCUUGGUAAGGGGAGAAAGAAAUGUGCUGGAUAUGGGGAAAUUCAGAAUGUGGGUGCACAUGUAAAAGGCAUGGGACUUUGAUGCCUCUGAGUAAUACUUGAUACAUAUUCUACUCAUUAAUAAUUAUCAUAUGACCAAACUAUAGAUAUGUGGGAUUAGUUGGAAUCCUACAAGGUAGGCUUCAGUAAUGUCACUCAGACAGUCAUUGAUUUUUAGGGACAAGACUUUUGAACACCCCUUAGGGUCUCAUCGUAUAGCUUAUCAGGUCUCAUUAUUAUGAAGAAUUUGUUUCUUUUUCACUUACAUCUUCCCCUUAGCCAUUAAAAACUAUUUUUGUAUUUCUGUCUUUGAGCUGGACAAAGUUUGUCUCUGGUGUCCCUUAAAAACACCUAA